GAGUCGUUAGCUCAGUUGGUAGAGCAUCUGACUUUUAAUCAGAGGGUCGCUGGUUCGAACCCAGCACGGCUCA
rnacentral:tRNA from 1 species